CGUACGAACUUGAUAAGUCUUGACUGUACUAAGUCAACGUAAUUGACUCUGUGGCCCAAUGGAUAAGGCGCUGGUCUACGAAACCAGAGAUUCUGGUUCGAUCCCCAGCAGAGUCGA
rnacentral:tRNA from 1 species